UCAUCUUUCUCUCCCCAAAAAGGUUGAGCUGUCGACGUCUUUUCGUUGCUGCUCUGGCAUUGGGGUCUUUCGACACCGUUGGUAGUGCCUCACCCUAGACUUUUAUUCCGUCUUUCUCGCCGUCUUAGUUGUUUUCAUUCAGCCGGCGGAGGUUCCUCUUUCGAUUGUGCUGAGAUGGAGUUUUGAGUAAUACCAGCUCUGUCGACAUCUUCUUGGUGGUCGUGGGCAGUUGGUUCGUGUCCAACCCUGGUCAAGCAUUAGUGACAUGUGGUGUGAUCCUCUGGCCCAGCUCUUGUUCUGUUGUGGUCUUUCCUUUCUGUCAAGGCUUCUCUUUUAGUUUCUGAAAUCUGUUGUUCUGCUUGGCCUUCUUGUUUUCUGGUGGCUUGUGGUUAUUAGGUUCUGUUCUGGAUUUCGUCUCUCGGAUGCUGAUUAUUGAGGUGGCAUCUACUGCUUUCAAUGGUCAAGUUUCUCAGUUCUUUUCUUGCGAGGAGGUAUGCGGUCUUUUGUUGGUAAAUGACUUAGAUCGGAUCGCUGUGUCCGUGUAUAAGUUUGAGGGUCCUCUUUGACGUUUUUCCUAGUCGGAGUUCAAGGUUGUCUUCCUUGUGCCCUGCUACCUUGGUAUUGGCGGUUCUCUUGUUUGAUCUCGGUGGUGCAGUUUUCGGGUUCUAUUGCUAGAGGUCUUCUUUCGAUUCUAGCUGAAGUGGUUCUUGGUUGAGUUUGUGCAAGUUUGGUUCCUACGUGAAGCUCUUGUCUCUCAUCUCGUUUCUGGCGUCAAUUUUAUCUUCAAGUUCUGGUAAGCGUGCUUGUGGUGGCCGCUAGCUCGGGAUCAGAUCUUAUGUUUUUCAAGUGGUGUUUGAUUCCCCGGUUUCUUUUGGUUUCUUAGUGUUAUUAUUAUUUUCUUAUUGUCAUGUCUCCCAAAUGUGGGGUUGUCUCCGAGAAGGUUGUUACUUUGUCGACUUUGGUUUAUGUAAUCGAUGUGUUUCUAUC